GCCCGUAUGGCUCAGUUGGUAGAGCGUGUCACUAGCAAUGACAAGGUUUUUUCUCCAAAGGUUACCUUGUCACGGGGGAAAUAAGGUCGCUAGUUUGAAUCUGGCUAUGGGCA